rnacentral:rRNA from 1 species
GACGAACGCUGGCGGCGUGCUUAACACAUGCCAGUCGAACGGUAAGGCCCUGCUUUUGUGGGGUGCUCGAGUGGCGAACGGGUGAGUAACACGUGAGUAACCUGCCCUCUACUUUGGGAUAACUCCCGGAAACUGGUGCUAAUACCGGAUAUUAACUCCUCCUCCCUGGUGGGGUGUGGGAAGUUGCGGCGGUUGGGGAUGGUCUCGCGGCUUAUGAGCUUGUUGGUGGGGUAGUGGGUUACUGAGGGUUCGACGGCUAGCGGGCCUGGGAGGGUGGCCGGCGACAUUGGGACUGGGAUACGGCCGGGAGUCGUAGGGGAGGAAGCAGUGGGGAAGGUGGAAGAAUGGGCGGGAGACGGAUGGAGAGAGGCCGAGUGCGGGAGGACGGGCUUCGGGUUGGAAACCGCUUUCGCCGGAGACGAAGUGGGAGUGAGGGUAAUGGGUAAAGAAGCACCGGCUAACUACGUG